rnacentral:rRNA from 1 species
UACCAGCACCCCGAGUGGUCGGGACGUUUAUUGGGCCUAAAGCAUCCGUAGCCGGUUCUACAAGUCUUCCGUUAAAUCCAACUGCUUAACAGGUGGGCUGCGGAAGAUACUAUAGAGCUAGGAGGCGGGAGAGGCAAGCGGUACUCGAUGGGUAGGGGUAAAAUCCGUUGAUCCACUGAAGACCACCAGUGGCGAAGGCGGCUUGCCAGAACGCGCUCGACGGUGAGGGAUGAAAGCUGGGGGAGCAAACCGG